UUUCGAAAUCCUUCCCCAAAAUUGAAGAAGAAAAAGAAAACGGGAAACCCAUGCACCGGUCGUCAUGCACCGCCGUCGCCGGCGCCAUCCCUCUCUCCUUCGUAUCACACUCUCUUUCUAGGUGGCUAUUCCCUCUUUUUUCUCUCGGAAGCCGCGCUGCCAUCGUCCCUCGGAGUUCAUCAGCUCACCGCCAGCGCCAGCGAUUUCUCGCCCCUGCCCAGUCGGCAUCGUAGUCGACUCCUCCUCCAGACGAACGCCGUCCGUCGCUCACCCAAGCUUCUCACCUAGCCACUGCCGGGAAGGCGACGGAGUGUUGAAAGCAUCUGCCUCGCCUCGUCCCAGGGCAGUCGCCGCUCGCUCAGCAUCGUCGGCUCAACCCCCGGCAUCUCCGGCUGGAUGUCCUACUCUGUCGCCGUUCGACUCGCGCCGGACAGCUUCGUAUGCUAAGCUAAGCCUUCAACCUAGUACAACUUAAAUCAUUGUGUCGAAAUCUGGGCAGUAGCUAGGUUGAGUUUCUAAGUUAUGAAUCUUAUUUGAAAACUUGCUAGGGUGAGUUCUUGAUCAGCUUAAGCUUCUGUUGAUUUACUUGAUUGAGCAUGCUAGUUGAAUUUCUUAAAUUGUGGUGCCUAACAUGCUAGGGUUCAUUUAAGAAAUUGUGAACUAUAUGCUUCGAAACCUGAGCUGUUGGAGGGUUAACUAUUGUGGGUUGUUCGGACUGUUGUCCCUGUGGUGAGUUGUUCGGGCGGUUGUCCCUAACACGGCUCCUCCUCCUCUCCUUAGCUUGUUAUUAUGCUAUUGAUUGUGUUGUUUAAGGAGGAAAGGGCUGAGGGGCUAUUUAUAAUGGUUGCCUAACUGAAAGCUUGAGAAAGGCUGAUGUACUUUGCUGAAAAGGAAACCUCAGGCUUUGCCAAUCUGGUUGAUCUCUCUGCAGCUCUGCAGAGCACGUACCCUGGUCCCUUGGUCUCUUUUCUAACUGAUUUUGGUGGCAUAUGGAGGUGUACUCGUGAGCUUAUAGUGGCUGUUGCACUCUGCAGCCACUCUAACUGAAUUUAGUACUUAUGACUACUUGUUACUUUGCUCAUUUAAUGGUCAUAUCUCCUGUGGCAGGUGCACCUCUGGAUAGCAGGGUUUGAAGCUCCUAUCCUCGGCAAUGGCAGCUGUGAGCUGGAGGUACGAGCUGCCACACUCGGUCUUACCAGGUUCCUGCAGCUAUUGGGUGAGGGUGCCGGCUGGCUUGCUUCUUUUAGCCGAGCACUUCCUCAUUUUUCUGGAAAGUUGCAGCCUCCCUCAUUCGGCCCAAUGGUCCCUUAGAAUCUGGGCCUAAGCUCGCGUGGAAAGAGCCGAAGCUAAUAUUUCCACGAUCCUGUUCCCACUUUAUGUCCCCCUAUUUGUUUUCGUCUCAACUUGUAUGAAAACAAAAAGCUAUAUUAGUUAGUUAGUGUAUCUCAUUUCUUUUUGUCCUCAUUGUAAAUUUUGUAGACUAUCGACUAUGUGUACCUCAUCUCGUUCACUUAAGCAAUAAACGACCCCUUUUUUGUA